UGUCGUCAGCUCGUGUCGUGAGAUGUUGGGUUAAGUCCCGCAACGAGCGCAACCCUUGAUUUUAGUUGCCAGCAUUUAGUUGGGCACUCUAAAGUGACUGCCGGUGCAAGCCGGAGGAAGGUGGGGAUGACGUCAAAUCAUCAUGCCCCUUAUGACCUGGGCUACACACGUGCUACAAUGGAUGGUACAAAGGGUCGCGAAGCCGCGAGGUGGAGCCAAUCCCAUAAAACCAUUCUCAGUUCGGAUUGUAGGCUGCAACUCGCCUACAUGAAGCCGGAAUCGCUAGUAAUCGUGGAUCAGCAUGCCACGGUGAAUACGUUCCCGGGCCUUGUACACACCGCCCGUCACACCACGAGAGUUUGUAACACCCGAAGUCGGUAGGGUAACCUUUAUGGAGCCAGCCGCCGAAGGUGGGACAGAUAAUUGGGGUGAAGUCGUAACAAGGUAGCCGUAUCGGAAGGUGCGGCUGGAUCACCUCCUUU
rnacentral:rRNA from 1 species